UACGUAGGGGGCAAGCGUUGUCCGGAAUCAUUGGGCGUAAAGCGCGUGUAGGCGGCUCGGUAAGUCCGCUCUGAAAGUCCAGGGCUCAACCCUGGGAUGCGGGUGGAUACUGCCGGGCUCGAGUCCGGAAGAGGCGAGUGGAAUUCCUGGUGUAGCGGUGAAAUGCGCAGAUAUCAGGAAGAACACCUAUGGCGAAGGCAGCUCUUCUGGGACGGUACUGACGG
rnacentral:rRNA from 1 species